GAUAGGGGAGACCCGGCCGGGAGGGGAGUGCGAGAACACGGGAGCCCCGGCCGUGAGAGGAGUGUGGAGACAGGGGAGAUCCGGCCGUGAGGGGAGCGCGGGGACAGGACAGCCCCGGCCGUGAGGGGAGCGCGGGGACAGGACAGCCCCGGCCGUGAGGGGAGUGCGGGGGAAGUCGGUGAGCCCCAAGGAGCCCGGCCGUGCGGGGAGUUCCCGUGAACCCCGGAGAUAGGGGCUGUGACCUGUCGUGGCAGUGGAGCACACGACAGCCGCCCUGCUGCUCCAGAGGGGAUGACAGCUUCUGACCCAUCCAGCAGCAACUGAGGGGCCAUCCUGGACAGAGAGCCAGUCCUGCUCCACUGGGAAACCACUGAGCCGAAUCACACCUCCAAACUCUCCUUGGCUUAAACAGAGCUAAGUGCAUCCCUCUGCCUGCCCUCCCUCUGCAGUCCUGGCGAGACAAGGCUGAAGUCACAGCCCUUGAUGGUGGUGGCUCUCCUACAUGACAGAACAUUUCUGCUCGGCCGCCUGCUUCAUUUCAGUGAAGGUGGCUUGUGCCUUCUCUUUGAUCUGAUCCAUGUCCAUGUUCUGGAUGUUCUGCAGCUGUCCCAGGAUGGAGUCCUUGUCCUCUUCCUCCUCCUGAUCUUGUGCCACCAUCUUCUGCAGGUCUUCUGGCAAACCCACGUCAUCCCCAGCCAUCUGUAUUUGAUUCUCAUCCAGUUCACUCUGAUACAAAAAGCAGAAAAUAAAAACAGCACAUGAGAGUA